CGCGGCCUAUCAGCUUGUUGGUGAGGUAAUGGCUCACCAAGGCGACGACGGGUAGCCGGCCUGAGAGGGCGACCGGCCACACUGGGACUGAGACACGGCCCAGACUCCUACGGGAGGCAGCAGUGGGGAAUAUUGCACAAUGGGCGAAAGCCUGAUGCAGCGACGCCGCGUGGGGGAUGACGGCCUUCGGGUUGUAAACCUCUUUCAGCAGGGAAGAAGCGAAAGUGACGGUACCUGCAGAAGAAGCGCCGGCUAACUACGUGCCAGCAGCCGCGGUAAUACGUAGGGUGCAAGCGUUGUCCGGAAUUAUUGGGCGUAAAGAGCUCGUAGGCGGCUUGUCGCGUCGGCUGUGAAAUCCCGUGGCUCAACUGCGGGUCUGCAGCCGAUACGGGCAGGCUAGAGUUCGGUAGGGGAGACUGGAAUUCCUGGUGUAGCGGUGAAAUGCGCAGAUAUCAGGAGGAACACCGAUGGCGAAGGCAGGUCUCUGGGCCGAUACUGACGCUGAGGAGCGAAAGCGUGGGGAGCGAACAGGAUUAGAUACCCUGGUAGUCCACGCUGUAAACGUUGGGCGCUAGGUGUGGGGGACCUCUCCGGUUCUCUGUGCCGCAGCUAACGCAUUAAGCGCCCCGCCUGGGGAGUACGG
rnacentral:rRNA from 1 species